AUGGAUCUCCUGGAAGUUUUCCUUAGGCGCCGAAUCCAGCCUCUUCAGUUCCGGAGCCACUGCAUGUGGUUGUACUGUGGGACUAAGGACGUGACUCGGGUUAACCCAGAAACAGUCGACGAUGCCACUCUGGAAAGGUGGAUGGCCGCUGUUACUGGGAACAAGGAUAACCCUCGCGGAGCCAGAAGGAUUCCUCCACUCGACUGCCACAGUGACCCAAACAAGGCCCUCACUGAACUGUACUCAAUGCCCAACGGAGCGCAGACUCCGACUGAGGAGGGAGAAGCGAGCGGGGGCGAGAGUCAGGAGGAGUGGGACUCGGACGCCGCCGAGGCCGAUGAUGAUGACGAUGACGAUGAUGAUGAUGAUGAUGAGGACGGCGAAGAGGAGGAGGAGGAGGAGGUCGCACCACCGCGCUCAGAAAGGCGGUCGAAACUUGUUCAUGACCCUGCGACUGAACGCGGCGAGGGGGUCGCGACUGUUACUCAGUCGACCAAGCGUCCCUGGAUCACCUCUCUGGCGCCGACUGAAAAGGCGCCGAAGCAGCCCAGGGCGGCCCCGUCGAAGCCGACCAAGCACCUGCCGAAGAUGAAGGUGUCCAUCCCCAUCAUAUCAGGCUCCAUCCAAUGUUGUUAUCACUCUCCCUGA
rnacentral:rRNA from 1 species